UACGUAGGGUGCGAGCGUCGUCCGGAAUUAUUGGGCGUAAAGGGCUCGUAGGCGGUCUGUUGCGUCAGGAGUGAAAACUCGGGGCUUAACCCCGAGCCUGCUUCUGAUACGGGCAGACUAGAGGUAUGCAGGGGAGAACGGAAUUCCUGGUGUAGCGGUGAAAUGCGCAGAUAUCAGGAGGAACACCGGUGGCGAAGGCGGUUCUCUGGGCAUUACCUGACGCUGAGGAGCGAAAGUGUGGGGAGCGAACAGG
rnacentral:rRNA from 1 species